rnacentral:siRNA from 1 species
GCAAUUUCAUCGACUGGACGUC